rfam:Onchocerca ochengi, WGS project CAWC01000000 data, contig: 02433_3748
CCAGCCAUAGCUCAGUUGGUAGAGCGGAGGACUGUAGAGUAUAAGCUGACAUCCUUAGGUCGCUGGUUCGAAUCCGGCUGGCUGGA